UUGGCGGCCGUGCUACAGGCAGGCCGCUAUCCCGGCCGUUUGUUUGGGCUUGGGGAUCUGUAAUGUGUCAGUGUGUGGCAGGCUUGCGCCAGGCCUACUACCUGAAAUACGGUCUGGAAUACAGCUAUCGGAUGCCUAGGCGUAUCCUGUUCUGCCCAUACUACUUGCCUGUUCGCGUGCGCCCAGAAAGACUGGCCCAUGGGUGCUGGUUCGAAACGGCACAGGUGAAGGAAUUCCAUGCCAACCCAUCCUCCUGCCUUACCGUGUGGACCAGACCAGAGCUCCUGUUCCGGUGACGCGCUCUCUUUCCCUCGCCCUCAUUCCUAUCCAGUCGCCUAGCCCUCCCCCCUCCCUCUCUUCUCGUCUGUGCGGUGGUUAUCGUCGGCAAACGCGCUCCCCGACCGAAGCGACGGCCGGAGCGCUCGUCCUCUUCCACGCUGGCGGCCAAACCACCCGGAUCCAGCUUCAUCUUCCACUCCGGCAGCCGAAUCACCUCGAGUUUGCGGAACACCGGAUCUGCUCAGGGGUUUCAUUGAGACUUUGAGAGCUACCUGCCAAUUGAGAGGCAUAUGCAAGUAAGGUUUACACCUGGGUGAUUUUGAUCAAUUUGGCGAACCUAUGUACAAAGCUGGUGCAUAUCGGAGGGCCACAGGUGUACAACCCGCCCCCAAAGAGGUGAUUUGCCGAAGGCUCCAAGGAAAUUGCCGAAAUGCACGAACUGUGGGGUGGUUGGACAUCGUCGCAAUGCGUGUGGCACUAAGAAGAGCAGGCCGUUUGAGCCAAACUUCCUCUAGUUACAAUCUUCAUCGCAGUGAUGGUUUAUGUAGUCGGCUUUGCAAUAUUUGUGGCAACUAUUUCUAUUUUAUGAUGCACAUGUUUCAUUUGCUGCCCGUAUUAUCGAACCAGGUCUCCUUGCCAUGUUUUAGCUGAUUUAUUUAGCAUCUCCUGGUGUGGACUGCAUAAAGCCUUUGAUCCA